rnacentral:rRNA from 1 species
GGGANUUUGGCAUGGGCGCAGCCUGNUCCAGCCAUUCCGCGUGAGUGAAGAAGGCCUUCGGGUUGUAAAGCUCUUUCGGCAGGGAAGAAACGGUUUGGGUUAAUACCCUGAGCUAAUGACGGUACCUGAAGAAGAAGCACCGGCUAACUACGUGCCAGCAGCCGCGGUAAUACGUAGGGUGCGAGCGUUAAUCGGAAUUACUGGGCGUAAAGCGUGCGCAGGCGGUUUUGUAAGACAGGUGUGAAAUCCCCGGGCUUAACCUGGGAACUGCGCUUGUGACUGCAAGACUCGAGUGCGGCAGAGGGGGGUGGAAUUCCACGUGUAGCAGUGAAAUGCGUAGAGAUGUGGAGGAACACCGAUGGCGAAGGCAGCCCCCUGGGUCGACACUGACGCUCAUGCACGAAAGCGUGGGGAGCAAACAGGAUUAGAUACCCUGGUAGUCCACGCCCUAAACGAUGCCAACUAGGUGUUGGGGAAGGAGACUUCCUUAGUACCGUAGCUAACGCGUGAAGUUGGCCGCCUGGGGAGUACGGUCGCAAGAUUAAAACUCAAAAAAAUUGACGGA